AUUCAGCUGACGAGUCUCAUCCAGGACGAAACGCGCAUCAAGGAU
rnacentral:hammerhead_ribozyme from 1 species